AACGUAGGAGACAAACGUUAUCCGGAGUUACUGGGCGUAAAGGGCGUGUAGGCGGUCUGUUAAGUCUGGCGUGAAAGCCCUCGGCUAAACCGGGAGAGGUCGUUGGAUACUGGCAGACUAGAGGACGGUAGAGGCGUGUGGAAUUCCGGGUGUAGUGGUGAAAUGCGUAGAGAUCCGGAGGAACACCAGUGGCGAAGGCGACACGCUGGGCCGUACCUGACGCUAAAGCGCGACAGCAUGGGGAGCAAACGGG
rnacentral:rRNA from 1 species